GAUGAACGCUGGCGGCGUGCCUAAUACAUGCAAGUCGAACGAACGGACGGGAAGCUUGCUUCUCUGAUCUUAGCGGCGGACGGGUGAGUAACCCGUGGAUAACCUACCUAUAAGACUGGGAUCACUUCGGAAAACCGGAGCUAAUACCGGCUAAUAUUUUGAACAGCAUGCUUCAACAGAAGACGACGGUCUUGCUGUAAAUUAACGAUGGAUCCGCGCUGCAUUAGCUAGUUGGUAAGGUAACGGCUUACCAAGGCCACGCUGCAUAACCAACCCGAACGCGGGAUCGGCCACACUGGAUCAGAGACACGGUCCACACUCCGGCGCUAGGCAGCAGUACGGAAUCCUCCGCAAGGGGCGAAUGCCGGACGUAGCAACGUCGCGUGAGCGAUGAAGGUCCGCCGAUCGGAAAACUCUGUUAGUAGUGAAGAACAUAAGUUCAAUUAACUGUGCACAUCUUGACGGUACCUAAGCAGAAAGCCACGGCUAACUACGUG
rnacentral:rRNA from 1 species